rnacentral:rRNA from 1 species
UACGGGGGGGGCAAGCGUUGUUCGGAAUUACUGGGCGUAAAGGGCUCGUAGGCGGCCAACUAAGUCAGACGUGAAAUCCCCAGGCUCAACCUGGGAACUGCGUCUGAUACUGGAUGGCUUGAAUCCGGGAGAGGGAUGCAGAAUUCCAGGUGUAGCGGUGAAAUGCGUAGAUAUCUGGAGGAACACCAGUGGUGCAGACGGCGCCCUGGGUCCGAACUGACGCUGAAGCACGAAAGCGUGGGGAGCGAACGGG